ensembl:snoRNA
AACCAUGAAUGCAGGAAGCAUAUGAUCGGGUUUUCAUGCUCACAUGUGAAAUGGACCGCCCUCAAAACUGGUUAUGCUAUCAGCACAUUACCUGUCUGAUG